AGAAAUUGUUCUAAGGAGAUCUUCUGGAGGCCCAUUGUAUUUUGGUCUGUAAACAUUAUGAGGAUUAUAAGAAAGGCAAAAGAAAGUUAUUGAAAGGGACACUGCAGGUGCUAUAACCAUAUCAUUAAAGUGUUUAUAGUGCCUGGAGUUCUCAAGUCCUGUCCCUCCAUUCAAUCAGUUUAAACACUAAAUGAGGUUCCCUGGUUUCUCACAGCCCGGCCUCCGCUGGAGGUGUGGCUAAGGCAGCAAUUACACACUUCCUUCUAGCCAUACUAAUUGAUACCAGCAAUGGGUGCUGUGAU